UACGGAGGGUGCGAGCGUUAAUCGGAAUUACUGGGCGUAAAGCGUGCGCAGGCGGUUGUGCAAGACCGAUGUGAAAUCCCCGGGCUUAACCUGGGAAUGGCAUUGGUGACUGCACGGCUAGAGUGUGUCAGAGGGGGGUAGAAUUCCACGUGUAGCAGUGAAAUGCGUAGAGAUGUGGAGGAAUACCGAUGGCGAAGGCAGCCCCCUGGGAUAACACUGACGCUCAUGCACGAAAGCGUGGGGAGCAAACAGG
rnacentral:rRNA from 1 species